GCGCCUCGGUGUGAAGGAGCUCUCGCCUGUGUUUCUUGCUAUCCCCAUCUAAAUGCUGGAGCGAGGAGUUAAAUUAUUCCAGAAGGCCCGCCAGGGUCUGAUUUGCCACUGUCUGCUUCCUCGUUGCCUUUGAAUGGGACCCUUGAUCCAAGGCUUUCAGAGACCAGCCGGUGCUGAUGGGGGUCCGUGACUUGGCGGUGGCGCCUGUUUGCUCCUUCUCUGUCUCGAGCAUGGUUUUCUAUCCUGCCGGGGAGGGCGAGAGCGCUGGGCAGAGGUGGCACCUGACCCGCUAGAACUCCGAUGUCACUGCUGUGGCUGUUACUCCCCUCGGCAAGAGUCAAGGCGCACGCAGGACGUGAAUCCUGCAAUGGACUGACCUCAUCUUCCCGAGGCUGUGAUGUUUCAGGAGAGUUUCACUAUUGCUGACCAACUGAGACCACCAGGAGCUCCUAAGUGCAAAGAAUGGCUACAUCUUUUCUUCUGGAUACCACCAGAUCAUUCCAGCCACCUGCCUUUGUGGUGUCUCCAGACAAGGGCUGACAACCAUCGAAGCAUCGAAACCCUAAGGCUACUUGGAGAGAAGAAGACUGUCCCUGGAGAAGGCGUGGGUGACUGAUUUUUAAGAAAUCGGCAACACGGAAGCUGAUUAUAAAAUAUUCAUAAGAAGCUGGCUUUUACAGGUUUUAGGGCUUUUCAAAGAUGUGGUGGUGCACAUCUUGAAUCCCUUAAGGCAGAGGCUGGUGGAUCUCUGAGUUCAAGCUCUACCUAAUCUACAGAGGAAGAGGAUUCUAAUCCCUGUUGACUGGCGAAAUAAAUAGGUCUUGGACACGUUUUUAAUUGAAAUCCAUUUUUCUCAUCUAUAAAUGGAGCUCAAAAGUCUGCCCAUGAUGCUGAAGGAAAUUUUUAACAUGAUAAACAUAGUAGACAAGCCUCAGAAUUCUUCCACUAUACUCCUAUAUCAGGAGAUAGAGUAUGCUAUCGUGGGGAACAAGCCUCUAACACACAAGCCUUUGGGAGAAUUUCAACACCUAACAUAGAAGAAAAUACUAUAGAUUAAAGAAUGUUAAGCCUACAAGCUGCCCUAAGCAUGAACAAGUGAACAUUUAUUCAUCUGCAGACA
rnacentral:lncRNA from 1 species